UACGUAGGGUGCGAGCGUUAAUCGGAAUUACUGGGCGUAAAGGGUGCGCAGGCGGUUCAUCAAGCUUGAUGUGAAAUCCCCGAGCUUAACUUGGGACGGGCAUUGAGGACUGGUGAACUCGAGUCUGUCAGAGGGGGGUGGAAUGCCACAUGUAGCAGUGAAAUGCGUAGAGAUGUGGCGGAACACCGAUGGCGAAGGCAGCCCCCUGGGAUAAGACUGACGCUCAGGCACGAAAGCGUGGGUAGCAAACAGG
rnacentral:rRNA from 1 species